rfam:Gossypium arboreum cultivar AKA8401 contig_16832_1, whole genome shotgun sequence.
UAUUAAAAAUUUCAUCCACUUAUGCUGUUAAAAACAGGUGUGGCUAACGAAAUAACUAGACAGUGCCACACGUAUACCUCAUGCUGAUGUAUAGGGACCAUUUUUUAAUAAUAGAAAUGGAUGGAAUUUUUAACC